rnacentral:rRNA from 1 species
AGCAGCCGCGGUAAUUCCAGCUCCAAUAGCGUAUAUUAAAGUUGUUGCAGUUAAAAAGCUCGUAGUUGAAUUUCGGGAUUGACGUGAUGGUCGUGCCUUAAGGGGUAUGAACUGUCGCAGUUGAUUUCUCACCUUCUGGAGAAGCAUGAUGUCCUUAAUUGGGUGUCAUGUGGAACCAGGACCUAUACCUUGAAAAAAUUAGAGUGUUUAAAGCAGGCAUUUUGCUCGAAUACAUUAGCAUGGAAUAAUAGAAUAGGACGGCAUGGUUCUAUUUUGUUGGUUUCUAGGAUCACCGUAAUGAUUAAUAGGGAUAGUUGGGGGCAUUAGUAUUCAAUUGUCAGAGGUGAAAUUCUUGGAUUUAUUGAAGACUAACUACUGCGAAAGCAUUUGCCAAGGAUGUCUUCACUAAUCAAGAACGAAAGUUAGGGGAUCGAAGACGAUCAGAUACCGUCGUAGUCUUAACCAUAAACUAUGCCGAC